GGAUGACGACUGGGAACCUGAAGGUCUAUAAUGAGACACCAGGAACAAAUCAAAGGGAUCUGCAGCUGCUUUGUACUGGGGUGGAAAACCACUUGGUGCAAGCCCAGGAGUCAUGGUCAAAUGCUUGGCAAGUACCAAAAACCACAGAAACCAGAAAC
rnacentral:lncRNA from 12 species